rnacentral:rRNA from 1 species
AUGGACGCAAGUCUGAACCAGCCAUGCCGCGUGCAGGAUGACGGCUCUAUGAGUUGUAAACUGCUUUUGUACGAGGGUAAACGCAGAUACGUGUAUCUGUCUGAAAGUAUCGUACGAAUAAGGAUCGGCUAACUCCGUGCCAGCAGCCGCGGUAAUACGGAGGAUUCAAGCGUUAUCCGGAUUUAUUGGGUUUAAAGGGUGCGUAGGCGGUUUGAUAAGUUAGAGGUGAAAUUUCGGGGCUCAACCCUGAACGUGCCUCUAAUACUGUUGAGCUAGAGAGUAGUUGCGGUAGGCGGAAUGUAUGGUGUAGCGGUGAAAUGCUUAGAGAUCAUACAGAACACCGAUUGCGAAGGCAGCUUACCAAACUAUAUCUGACGUUGAGGCACGAAAGCGUGGGGAGCAAACAGGAUUAGAUACCCUGGUAGUCCACGCAGUAAACGAUGAUAACUCGUUGUCGGCGAUACACAGUCGGUGACUAAGCGAAAGCGAUAAGUUAUCCACCUGGGGAGUACGUUCGCAAGAAUGAAACUCAAAGGAAUUGACGGGGGCCCGCACAAGCGGAGGAACAUGUGGUUUAAUUCGAUGAUACGCGAGGAACCUUACCCGGGCUUGAAAGUUAGCGACGAUUCUUGAAAGAGGAUUUCCCUUCGGGGCGCGAAACUAGGUGCUGCAUGGUUGUCGUCAGCUCGUGCCGUGAGGUGUCGGGUUAAGUCCCAUAACGAGCGCAACCCCUACCGUUAGUUGCCAUCAGGUGAAGCUGGGCACUCUGGCGGGACUGCCGGUGUAAGCCGAGAGGAAGGUGGGGAUGACGUCAAAUCAGCACGGCCCUUACGUCCGGGGCUACACACGUGUUACAAUGGUAGGUACAGAGGGCAGCUACCCAGCGAUGGGAUGCGAAUCUCGAAAGCCUAUCUCAGUUCGGAUUGGAGGCUGAAACCCGCCUCCAUGAAGUUGGAUUCGCUAGUAAUCGCGCAUCAGCCAUGGCGCGGUGAA